rnacentral:lncRNA from 1 species
AUUCUCUGACUCAGGGUUAUUACUGAAGCCUGAGAUUCUCUGUCUGUAUCCAGGUCAGGAGGGAGAAGAGGCUCCAGGGAAAGAGUGGUCAUAACGGGACCAGAGGGGAAAGGGAGGUGGGGAGCAUUAGGUGAGGAUGAAUUGGCCAAGCAGCCACGUGCUGCAAGCUGGGGAGGAGGACGGAGUCCAGGCUGCUGGAUCGGCAAUUAGCUCAAUCUCAGACCAUGUCUCCAGAUGGACACUUUGAGGGUUGGUAACUGUGCUUGUAAGUCAGCCUUCUUUCUCAGAGUAAUACGACAGCCUGACAUGAAUUUCCUUAGACAUCUCAGAGACCAUCAGAUUUUGCCUUUGGCCUGAGAUUGAGUGAACUGAAUGUCUGGACUCAGAAAGUUGCUUGAACAGUCUCUACCCAUUAAAAACACACACAUCACAUACCUCACGUCUACCGCCCCCUCCCUCAGCGAGGACCAGCGAGCACAUGAGUCGCACAUUGCAACUUGCAGCGCAUUGCAGCGCCGUGGGUUCAUGGCACAGCCCUGAGGCUGAUUAUGGUGAGUCCCGCAUGUCAUUUGUAAUCCUGCUACUUCAUAGUCACGAGCUGCAGAGCACAGACAACUAGCUUCCUUGUGAUCUAGAGAAUCUAUGUUCUUUCGUACGAGAUGCCAGCCUCUUUCUUUGCGUGCCCUUGUGAGAAAUUGAAAUGUUCUCCGAGUCCGGAGACAGACUUCCGAGUGAACUGCAUCU